rnacentral:rRNA from 1 species
CCUACGGGAGGCUGCAGUAGGGAAUUUUCGUCAAUGGGCGCAAGCCUGAACGAGCGAUGCCGCGUGAGUGAAGAAGGCCUUCGGGUCGUAAAGCUCUGUUGCGGGGGAAAAAAGGCAGCAUCAGGAAAUGGGUGCUGACUGAUGGUGCCCCGCCAGAAAGUCACGGCUAACUACGUGCCAGCAGCCGCGGUAAUACGUAGGUGGCGAGCGUUAUCCGGAAUGAUUGGGCGUAAAGGGUGCGCAGGCGGUCCUGCAAGUCUGGAGUGAAACGCAUGAGCUCAACUCAUGCAUGGCUUUGGAAACUGGAGGACUGGAGAGCAGGAGAGGGCGGUGGAACUCCAUGUGUAGCGGUAAAAUGCGUAGAUAUCACGCAGAACUCCGAUUGCGAAGGCAGCAUACCGGCGCUCAACUGACGCUCAUGCACGAAAGUGUGGGUAUCGAACAGGAUUAGAUACCCGAGUAGUC